UGCUGGUCCGAGUGCAUUGGUGUUUAUAACUAAUUGAUCACAACCAGUUACAGAUUUCUUUGUUCCUUCUCCACUCCCACUGCUUCACUUGACUAGCCUCAA
ensembl:misc_RNA Y_RNA Y RNA